AAAAAAGAGCCAGGGGUAGUGUCACAUGCUUGUCAUCCUCAGUCUGUAGCAGUAAAUAAGGCAGGUCCCCAGGCCAGCCAGUCUAGCAUAAUUAACAAGCUCCAGGCCAAUGGAAAGUACAAAAAACACCUGCCUUGUAUAAAAAACAAGAUAGAUGGCACCUAAGGUGUCCUCUGGCUUCUAUCCCCCCCACCCCACACCCACACACAUAGGUAACCCCCACCCCCAUACACACACAUGCAAAAAACAGCAAUAGAAAGCCCAAAACAAAGAGAGAAAACUCCAGAGAUGCUUGUAUUCACGAGGGGUGAUGGCAAAUGGGUACUAAUGGAAGAACUAGGAAAUAACUCAUUGUACUCAUUUUAAUAGUGUCUUUUAAAAAGUAGAAAUAUGGCUGACAAUAAAAAUAUUCCUAGGCCAUUUGGAAACUUAAUUUAUUUAGUUUAUUUUUGUUUUCUGCCCUCAAGUCUUCCACCAGCACCACGACAGGAUGUUCAUGGACAGAAGCCAUCUGCAUCCACCCAGCUGUGAAAGAAGAGGAGGAGAGGAGGAAGAGAUAGAGAAGAGGAGAAGAAGAAGAGGAGGAGGAGAAGGAGAAAAGGAAGAGGAGAAGGAGGAGGAGGAAAAGAGGAGAGGAGGAGAGGAGGAGGAGAAAUGACCCAAAUUCCCAAAUCCAAACACACAUUAAGAACUCACAUGCAGAUUUUAGACAUACAUAGACUGGUGGGAGUAGAAGCAGACACCCAUAACUAAUCACCGAACUGAACUGGAACCCAGAUGCAGAGAAGGACCAGUGAAGACCACAGAGGUCCAGACCAGGCUGGUGAAACCCACAGAAACAGCUGACCUGAUCAUCCGGGAACUCUUGCUCCCCAGUCUGAUAGCUGGAAUACCAGCAUGGGACUGAUCCAGACCCCAGGAACAUGGGUUUCUGUAAGGAAACCUCAGAAAUCUAUGGGACCUCCUGUAGAAGCCCAGUAUUUAUCCCUAGCAUAGGUGUGGACUUUGGGAGCCCAUUCCAUAUAGAGGAAUACUCCCUGAGCCAAGACACAUGGGUGUGGGCCUAGGCCCUAUCCCAAAGGAUACGAUAGACUCUGAUGACACUCUAUGGAAG
rnacentral:lncRNA from 1 species